rnacentral:rRNA from 1 species
CCUACGGGGGGCAGCAGUGGGGAAUUUUCCGCAAUGGGCGAAAGCCUGACGGAGCAACGCCGCGUGAGGGAUGAAGGCCUCUGGGCUGUAAACCUCUUUUAUCAAGGAAGAAGAUCUGACGGUACUUGAUGAAUAAGCCACGGCUAAUUCCGUGCCAGCAGCCGCGGUAAUACGGGAGUGGCAAGCGUUAUCCGGAAUUAUUGGGCGUAAAGCGUCCGCAGGCGGUCUGUCAAGUCUGCUGUUAAAGCGUGGAGCUUAACUCCAUUUCGGCAGUGGAAACUGACAGACUAGAGUGUGGUAGGGGCAGAGGGAAUUCCCGGUGUAGCGGUGAAAUGCGUAGAUAUCGGGAAGAACACCAGUGGCGAAGGCGCUCUGCUGGGCCAUAACUGACGCUCAUGGACGAAAGCCAGGGGAGCGAAAGGGAUUAGAUACCCCUGUAGUCCUGGCCGUAAACGAUGAACACUAGGUGUCGGGGGAAUCGACCCCCUCGGUGUCGUAGCCAACGCGUUAAGUGUUCCGCCUGGGGAGUACGCACGCAAGUGUGAAACUCAAAGGAAUUGACGGGGGCCCGCACAAGCGGUGGAGUAUGUGGUUUAAUUCGAUGCAACGCGAAGAACCUUACCAGGGUUUGACAUCCUGCGAAUCUCUUGGAAACGAGAGAGUGCCUUCGGGAGCGCAGUGACAGGUGGUGCAUGGCUGUCGUCAGCUCGUGUCGUGAGAUGUUGGGUUAAGUCCCGCAACGAGCGCAACCCACGUCUUUAGUUGCCAGCAUUUAGUUGGGCACUCUAGAGAGACCGCCGGUGAUAAACCGGAGGAAGGUGUGGAUGACGUCAAGUCAUCAUGCCCCUUACAUCCUGGGCUACACACGUACUACAAUGCUACGGACAAAGAGCAGCAAGUUCGCGAGGACAAGCAAAUCUCAUAAACCGUGGCUCAGUUCAGAUCGUAGGCUGCAACUCGCCUACGUGAAGGAGGAAUCGCUAGUAAUCGCAGGUCAGCAUACUGCGGUGAAUACGUUCCCGGGCCUUGCACACACCGCCCGUC